CCGAGAAUAUUCGACAAUGGACGAAAGUCUGAUCGAGCGACACCGCGUGAUGGAUGAAGACCCUCUGGGUCGUAAACAUCUUUUUAUGAGGGAGAAAGUUUAUUGAUAGUACCUCACGAAUAAGGGGUUGCUAAACUCGUGCCAGCAGCCGCGGUAAGACAGGGGAUACAAGCAUUACUCGGAAUUACUGGGCAUAAAGCGUCUGUAGGCGACCAAGCAAGUCGGGGGUGAAAGUCCAAAGCUCAACUUUGUGAUUGCCCUGGAAACUGCUUGGAUUGAGCCACUGAGAGGCACCUGGAAUGCCAUGUGGAGGAGUAAAAUCCGUAGAGACAUGGUGGAACGCCAAAAGCGAAGGCAGGGUGCUAGCGGUCGGCUGACGCUGAGAGACGAAAGCGUGGGGAGCAAAGGGGAUUAGAUACCCAGGUAG
rnacentral:rRNA from 1 species